GUGCUUGCUUUUGUAGCAUAUAUACAAAAAUUGGAAUGAUACAGAGAUUUGCAUGCUCCUUGUGCAAGGAUGACAUGCAAAGUCUUGAAAUAUUCCAUAUUUUU
rnacentral:snRNA from 1 species